CGUGACAAUAAGUAAUUUCAAGGCUGUGCUAAAAGAUGCAAAAAAAUGUUUUCAAAUAUUUUCAUUUCAUUUGUUCUGUGUACUUCAACGUUGUACAGAAGUGUUCAGAGUUUUGAAAUACAGAUUGAAGAGAGUGAGAAAUAUCCCAAUAUAGACAGAUCAAGUGGAGUUCCACUUUCAGAACUUUAUAAA